UACAGAGACUGCAAGCGUUAUUCGGAUUCACUGGGCGUAAAGGGUGCGCAGGCGGUCGUGUGUGUCAGGUGUGAAAUCCCGGAGCUUAACUCCGGAACUGCGCCUGAAACUACACUACUAGAGCAUUGGAGAGGGAAGUGGAAUUCAUGGUGUAGCAGUGAAAUGCGUAGAUAUCAUGAGGAACACCAGGGGCGAAGGCGACUUCCUGGACAAUUGCUGACGCUCAGGCACGAAAGCAUGGGGAGCAAAAGGG
rnacentral:rRNA from 1 species